GUCGAACGAACUCUGGUAUUGAUUGGUGCUUGCAUCAUGAUUUACAUUUGAGUGAGUGGCGAACUGGUGAGUAACACGUGGGAAACCUGCCCAGAAGCGGGGGAUAACACCUGGAAACAGAUGCUAAUACCGCAUAACAACUUGGACCGCAUGGUCCGAGCUUGAAAGAUGGCUUCGGCUAUCACUUUUGGAUGGUCCCGCGGCGUAUUAGCUAGAUGGUGGGGUAACGGCUCACCAUGGCAAUGAUACGUAGCCGACCUGAGAGGGUAAUCGGCCACAUUGGGACUGAGACACGGCCCAAACUCCUACGGGAGGCAGCAGUAGGGAAUCUUCCACAAUGGACGAAAGUCUGAUGGAGCAACGCCGCGUGAGUGAAGAAGGGUUUCGGCUCGUAAAACUCUGUUGUUAAAGAAGAACAUAUCUGAGAGUAACUGUUCAGGUAUUGACGGUAUUUAACCAGAAAGCCACGGCUAACUACGUGCCAGCAGCCGCGGUAAUACGUAGGUGGCAAGCGUUGUCCGGAUUUAUUGGGCGUAAAGCGAGCGCAGGCGGUUUUUUAAGUCUGAUGUGAAAGCCUUCGGCUCAACCGAAGAAGUGCAUCGGAAACUGGGAAACUUGAGUGCAGAAGAGGACAGUGGAACUCCAUGUGUAGCGGUGAAAUGCGUAGAUAUAUGGAAGAACACCAGUGGCGAAGGCGGCUGUCUGGUCUGUAACUGACGCUGAGGCUCGAAAGUAUGGGUAGCAAACAGGAUUAGAUACCCUGGUAGUCCAUACCGUAAACGAUGAAUGCUAAGUGUUGGAGGGUUUCCGCCCUUCAGUGCUGCAGCUAACGCAUUAAGCAUUCCGCCUGGGGAGUACGGCCGCAAGGCUGAAACUCAAAGGAAUUGACGGGGGCCCGCACAAGCGGUGGAGCAUGUGGUUUAAUUCGAAGCUACGCGAAGAACCUUACCAGGUCUUGACAUACUAUGCAAAUCUAAGAGAUUAGACGUUCCCUUCGGGGACAUGGAUACAGGUGGUGCAUGGUUGUCGUCAGCUCGUGUCGUGAGAUGUUGGGUUAAGUCCCGCAACGAGCGCAACCCUUAUUAUCAGUUGCCAGCAUUAAGUUGGGCACUCUGGUGAGACUGCCGGUGACAAACCGGAGGAAGGUGGGGAUGACGUCAAAUCAUCAUGCCCCUUAUGACCUGGGCUACACACGUGCUACAAUGGAUGGUACAACGAGUUGCGAACUCGCGAGAGUAAGCUAAUCUCUUAAAGCCAUUCUCAGUUCGGAUUGUAGGCUGCAACUCGCCUACAUGAAGUCGGAAUCGCUAGUAAUCGCGGAUCAGCAUGCCGCGGUGAAUACGUUCCCGGGCCUUGUACACACCGCCCGUCACACCAUGAGAGUUUGUAACACCCAAAGUCGGUGGGGUAA
rnacentral:rRNA from 2 species